UUUGGAUUCGCCUGUCGUUUUAAUAUCCUUUCUGCUGAAUUACUGGUCGAUUUUGUUCAGCAUCCACAGCUUGUAUUUUUAUUCUUUAAUUUAGAGUUGCCAUAAAUGUUAUCUGUGUCUUAAAUCACCAAAGAUUGUGGCAACACUAUUUUCACUAUAAAGAUAAUAGGCGCGUAGUAAAUAUCGUUACAGUAUUUUUACAUGCCUACAUAUCGUAGAAAAUCGACCAAAACGUUAGCCGUUUUGUUGGCAUUGCUGGGCUGGUGUCGCCGUACACGGAUUCAUAGCCACCGUUGUUGUCUCGGUUCGCAAGGCAAUGGCGGCGUCUACAUAAAUUAGUGUCAAAACACAUACGCAUGCAUACAUGUGACAUAUGGUCACUAGGGAGAGACUGAAUAUCCAAUAGCCAUCAUCAUGGUUUCCACAAAACGUGGUAUGGAUGAUAGGGCAGCGUCGUUGGCGUCAUUCGAUCGUGAGUGGAGAAGACAACGGCAAUGAUGAAAUACAAUAGAAAUUAUAAUGGUCAUUGAUCGUUGGAGGUGUUAUGAUUGGUAUGUGCUGAGAAUUACUAUUUUCAAAUGCUAUUCAAGCUUUCGCCCUCUAAAUUGAAAUUGGUGGCAAAAGUGUCAUUGAUUCUAGCCCAACCAUUUGUACCUAUAUAUGUAUGUGGGUGUACAUCGCUAUGAAAAUUUGUCUCUGCAGUUACAACAUCUAAGCUGGGGUUUUAUCGGGACACCAUCAGUAAUUUUUGCUGGGGGAAUUGUUACAGAGAAGAAACCUACAUGCAAACGCGCAAAGUCGAAACCUAACACCAAUGACUUGGCCUCAAGAUCACAAGUGCUACCACCACUAGAUGCAAACACCGAUUUUAACAUGCCUUUGUCAUUAGCAGCUGUUGGUCACCAAUGUGAGCCUCAGUUUGCUAACAAAGUUACCAGACAAUUUAAAUAACGUUUGGCGGUAAAGAAUUUCAAACUGUUUACUUUCUUAAAAGAAGCUGAUAAUCAAACAGUUGCCGCUAUAAUUUUCCAGGAAAAAAAUACAGGAGGUAAAAGUAAACAUUUAGUCUUCAUAUGCUGACGAUCAACUCAGUAAAUACUUCAACAGAGUCUAAGUCCAGUCAGAGUUUUGAAGACAAACUAAAAAAAUCAAAUCGGCAAAGCCAAAUAAGAGAAUGAAGUCUGGAGUCAAAUUUAAGUAAAUAAACAAAAACGGGAGACUGGUGCUAAAACUGUUGACAACACUGAAAAUGAGGCAAUACUGAAGAGAAAUGUGCAAAAAAGAGAGAACAUUGAGAGCGACGCGGGAAAAAUAAAACAGAAUAGAAAACAGUAGACGCCAGCAGCUUUCGUUUUCUGCAUCUUCUCAAAAAUGAAGAGACAGCUUGCUCCAGACCAUUUGAUUGGGUUUAGACUCUAACAGCGUUAUUUUACAGGAAAUUGUAUGACCCAGUAUUCAACAGGAGUCGGUAUUGGAAGUCCUUAAAUCAGGAGACGUAGAAUUUAAAAAGUAUGCUCCUGCAAUUAUGGACAUAUCUGGAGAAGUAUUGGAUCGUACGCGCAGAGGUGUUUAUAGUCUUGCAGGAAAAGCCAAUAACGCUUUAGGAAACUUUCCGUCUUUUUAUUGUUUUUUAAAGAUUGAUAAAAAAAUGCAUUAGUAAGGUCUCUGAGAUUGGAAAAAACACCUCCGCAAGGUGGAGAGUCUUAUUUGCUGCGGACCAGGGUAUGAACAAAGCAUCCUUGUAAAAGCAUUGUCUACCAUUAUUAUUAGAAGGGAUGUCCAUGUGCCCCGGAAUAGUGCCCAGUGUUAACUUCCUUCAAAAUACGGAUCCUUUGCCGAAAGCAAAUAGACCAGCUCGUCCUAGCAUGUUUAGGUUGUAUGGGUAGCCUCCCAUGAAAGGUGAGUUCAUUUAGAGCCCAGUCUACCCCAUUGUGAUACCCCAGUGAUAACAAACCGCUGGUGAAAAGGUUAAGAAAAAGUGUGAAAUAUAAGAUGAAUUAUAAGAAGAGAGAAUGUGGAAAGCGUCGUAUAGACUGCACGCCGACUCUUAUGUGCAUCACCGGAACCAUCAACCGGAAUUGGUCAACGCUUAGCUGAGUGUUUUUAUUCUGUGAGUGAGUGCCAGUGGUUCUGCUUGUCUACGCUUACAUGAGAGACACAUCUGCAAGAUCGCCGAGUUUGGAGAAAAACCGCCUCCCUAAGUUAGAUCCUAAAAACAGAUCUGAAAUAAACUAGUUGACACUAUUUUGUUCUUGCUCCACUAUGUGUAUGUAGUUUACUAUUUUAG